AGGAGCCGAGUGAGGUGGAAACUCUCACGCUCGGUUCUGAACUAGAGGUGAAGAAAGGUGACUUUCUCAUCGACUAUAA
rnacentral:ncRNA from 1 species